GUCCAUUCGGGCGUUUCAAACUCCCGAAUGGCCGGUAUUCGUACACUUUUGUCGAUUGAGAAGGGAGGUCGGUGGCUUCAGCGGUGUUCGGCGGAAAAAGUGUCCGUUUUCAGUUCCAUAGAAUCUGGGCCGAACACCGCUGGUCUUUCGCCUGUUUAAAAUGGCCGCCGCCUCGUGGUCAACAUACGAACGACGACCACCCUGCAUUCGGUUUUAAUUGAGAGGUGUCUGCGGUUAACCACAACGUUCUAAUUGGGGUCAAGAGGUUAACCAGCAGCACACUUCUCUUCUGGGUGGCCG